UGAUGGCCCUUGUUUUUUUGAUUUUUUUUUAAUUUCUGAUUUUUCAUUUAAUCCCUUUAUUUUAUUUAAUUCAUAUUAAUUUCAUUUUUAAUCCCAAAAAUAUGGGACUUUCACUUAAAAUCUUUAAAUAUUUUCCUCUUUCAUAUUUUCAAUUAAAAUUAUUUUUUGGAUUUUUGAUAUUUUUCAUGAACUAAAUGUUUUUGUACAUAUUUUUAAUUGUUUUAAAUAACUUCUGACUUUCCA
rnacentral:lncRNA from 1 species